rnacentral:rRNA from 1 species
UGGGGAAUAUUGGACAAUGGGCGCAAGCCUGAUCCAGCAAUGCCGCGUGGGUGAAGAAGGUCUUCGGAUUGUAAAGCCCUUUCGACAGGGACGAUGAUGACGGUACCCUGUAGAAGAAGCCCCGGCUAACUUCGUGCCAGCAGCCGCGGUAAUACGAAGGGGGCUAGCGUUGCUCGGAAUUACUGGGCGUAAAGGGCGCGUAGGCGGUUCUGUUAGUCAGGCGUGAAAUUCCUGGGCUCAACCUGGGGACUGCGCUUGAUACGGCGGAACUUGAGGGCAGGGAGAGGCUACGCGGAAUUCCCAGUGUAGAGGUGAAAUUCGUAGAUAUUGGGAAGAACACCGGUGGCGAAGGCGGCGAGCUGGCCUGUACUGACGCUGAGGCGCGACAGCGUGGGGAGCAAACAGGAUUAGAUACCCUGGUAGUCCACGCCGUAAACGAUGUGCGCUGGAUGUUGGGUGGCC